GUGAAGGUUGUUUUUAUCUUGGUUAAUGCCUUUUCACUCCCAUUAACUGAGAAACUCCCCUUUCAGGAGUGCAACAUCAGAAUUUGAAAAGCCGUAUUUGUAGAAGACAUCGAUGCGAAUUGUUUCUUGUUUUCUUCCUUCCCCCGCCCUCAGUAGCAUGUCAGUUCUAUGAGGAUAGAAUUCAUUUUAAGUCACCCUUAUGUCCCUAAUACCUAGACAGUGUUUGGCACAGAGUUCGUGCUUAAUAAACAAUUAUUGAAGAAAGAAUUUAGAGAUUAACUAACCUCCGCUCCCUAAGGUCUGUGUCUUCACUCUGGACUGAGUAGCCAGACUCUCAGGCUGGGCUUUGGCCAUUGUUUAUGUCACAAGGAUGAGGUUUGUGGGUGUCGAAGGAAGACCCCAUUCAGAGCUAAUUUCUUGGUUCAGCUUUGCAAAUGCAGGGAGGGUGAUCAGAAAAGUCUGGGAGUGUUGGUGGACCCAUAGGCUUGUAAAGUGUUGGCCAUAUUAUGCCUCAAACCCUAAGCUCUUCAGUCAAAAUGGAAUUUGUGUCAUAGUCUCAGUGUGACAAUGCUGUUCAGUCAAUGUGAACAGCAAGCAGUGAAAAACAGACGCCAGACUACUGAAACCCGUUACCUCUGGAGGAGAUGACAGGAGCAGGACGAGCAGAAACAAAGUUGCAAACGUUUUCAUGGGGCUCAUCCCUUCCCACUAGAAUAGAAGCUCAAAAGACAGGCACUUACCCAGGACAGAGCAACUGGCUUGGGGAUUUCCGGCACAGUCCUUGGAGAAGCGUCACUGUUGACUUCGGGUUUGCAAAACAGCACUCUCUCCCUGGUUUCCAGAACACACCUCAUCAAAUAAAGUGCCGUCAGUUAUCACUCAGCUUAGCAAAGCCGAGAGCUUUGACUUGACUGUUUCUAGGUGAGGGAGAUGCCAAAGGCUCCAGGCUCCACAGGAGCCAUCAGUCAGCCUUGUGCGUACAGCCCAGGUGUAAUUCAGGGCGAUGACAAACACAGGGUCACCGCAGUAGGCUAUGGCUUUGCAGACACCCUGGACCUGCUUCCUAGAAUCAGAAAAAGCAGGCUUUACGUGUGUCUUGUGUUAAGUUGCCCUUCUCCCCUCCUGCACCCCCCACAGACAACCAAACCUCACUUGAAAUAUUUCCUUGGUACUGUAACGUCGGACUAGGGAUGGGUUCCCUAGCUCCAGACUUGCCAGGGUCACAGGUACACUGUGCCCGAUAGACUUAGCCCUGCCUCAGUUUCUCUACAUGAGGGCUCUUAAUCCUAGAGUCCAUGCAAAGCUCAUUCCAUCCAGCCUCUUUCGUCCUGGCAGCUCAGUGCUAAAUGAUCCAAGAGAGACAUUUAGACGUCUCCCAUUACCAGAACCCUCCCCGCCCAGAGUAAUUUUUAUUUUAUUACAAAAGACACUUCAUAUAGCGUACAAG
rnacentral:lncRNA from 1 species